rnacentral:rRNA from 1 species
AUUGAACGCUGGCGGCAGGCUUAACACAUGCAAGUCGAGCGGGGGAAGGUAGCUUGCUACCGGACCUAGCGGCGGACGGGUGAGUAAUGCUUAGGAAUCUGCCUAUAGUGGGGGACAACAUCUCGAAAGGGAUGCUAAUACCGCAUACGUCCUACGGGAGAAAGCAGGGGAUCUUCGGACCUUGCGCUACUAGAUGAGCCUAAGUCGGAUUAGCUAGUUGGUGGGGUAAAGGCCUACCAAGGCGACGAUCUGUAGCGGGUCUGAGAGGAUGAUCCGCCACACUGGGACUGAGACACGGCCCAGACUCCUACGGGAGGCAGCAGUGGGGAAUAUUGGACAAUGGGGGGAACCCUGAUCCAGCCAUGCCGCGUGUGUGAAGAAGGCCUUAUGGUUGUAAAGCACUUUAAGCGAGGAGGAGGCUACUUUAGUUAAUACCUAGAGAUAGUGGACGUUACUCGCAGAAUAAGCACCGGCUAACUCUGUGCCAGCCGCCGCCGUAA